AGCAUUUACAGAUAGGCAACAUUUAUUUGACUGGGACCAAACGUAACACACAGAAAUCUUCUAAUCAGAAACACAUUAGAGUGAUUAAACCUUCUCUGCACAUACUCAGUAGAAUUGUUUCUCUGCAUUAAAAAUAAGGCAUUCACAAAGAGGUUUUGAACAACAAACUAAUUUAAAGGUAUGAAAGUUGCUUGUUGGUUCUGCAGUAUUUCUCUUCUUCUGAUGUGUAUUUUAACUUGCAUCAAUUGUUUCUCCAGGUUGGUGGUUACAAAUGAACAUGAACAAGCUAUGCUAAAAUGGGUGUUGCUAGCUAGCAUAGAAGAUUUUAUCAUGGCAAUAGUCACAUAAGUUUGGGUGCAGGCGAGGUACGGUAUAAGCACAGGUGGUUAGGACUUAAAGAUUUUUAAUAAAAGAAAGCAAAACAUAAACUUCUUAACAAGACCAAACUACACAUGAGACUAUAAACAAACAAAACCAUCAACAGGGUUUCAAAACAGCUAAACCGAAACAGGAUAAAUCAACAGAUGCAGGCCAAUCAACUAAACUUUGGCAGGCUAUUUAUUAAGCAACUAAUGAGCCGCCUCAGUUAGGGUGCGUGCUCCCGUCACAUGACCAAAGUGCAUUCUGGGAAACAUAGUCCAAAACAAAGAGUCUAUCGGGGUUAACCCUGACAGCUGUAUGAUCAGGUGCCACACGAGCUCCUUCAGAGAUGUAAAAGAAACGCAUCACUCGACUGGUUUUCGGUUUGAUGGAACUUCAAAAGAGUAUGAAGAUAAAAUCUAAGGUAGCGUCAGAAACUCAAGAAGCUUCUAAAUUAAUGGUAUAUACACUUUCUAAACAAGUGCAACUGACUUCCUCACUGCAACUUCCGCCCUAAGCAGUACACUUUCAUUUUCUCCUCUUGUUUGUCUUCCUCCUCCGUUCCAUUCAGUAAAAAAAAAAAAAAAAAAAAAAACGUCUAUACACAAAAAAUGCUGGGUUGUUUCUGUAAACACAUUGUUUGGUUGUUUCUGUACACAUUGCUGGGUUGUUUUUGGAUUUAUUUCACGUUGUGUAUUUCUAACAGACAAUCUUUGGUAAAAUACGAGUAUAAUAUAAUAUAUAUCGCGGCUGUGUGACGCCUCCUCUACGCUGUGUUCUAUUUACACUAUAUCCGGUGUCCUCAUACCCUCGAGUGUGCACUUCAAAGUCAAGGCUGUUCCUGGAAUUGAGACACGGCAGGACGAACUUUCUGGAAUGUUCACUUCUGAAGCGAGGGGCACGCGACUUAAAGCUGGCCGGAUUUUACGGAUCAUUCUGGGAAACAAACAAACACCUGGUUGUGUUAUUCUGACCCAGCAGAUGGUUUAUUCUUUGGAGAACUUUCUGGAUUCUUUACUUCUGACUGGAUCAUGUUCAGAGUACUCAGUUUAUUUUACUUUUUACUUUUUUUUUUUUUUUUGUAAUUUGUGGUAGGAGCAAGCAUAUUUUAUUGAUCAAAUUAAAUGCUUUGAUAUGGUGA